rnacentral:rRNA from 1 species
AUUGAACGCUGGCGGCAUGCUUUACACAUGCAAGUCGAACGGUAACAGGUUAAGCUGACGAGUGGCGAACGGGUGAGUAAUGCAUCGGAACGUGCCCGAUCGUGGGGGAUAACGCAGCGAAAGCUGCGCUAAUACCGCAUACGAUCUGAGGAUGAAAGCGGGGGACCGUAAGGCCUCGCGCGAUCGGAGCGGCCGAUGUCAGAUUAGGUAGUUGGUGGGGUAAAGGCCCACCAAGCCGACGAUCUGUAGCUGGUCUGAGAGGACGACCAGCCACACUGGGAGUGAGACACGGCCCAGACUCCUAUGGGAGCCAGCAGUGGGGAAUUUUGGACAAUGGGCGAAAGCCUGAUCCAGCAAUGCCGCGUGCAGGAAGAAGGCCUUCGGGUUGUAAACUGCUUUUGUACGGAGCGAAAAGGUCCUGUCUAAUACAAGGGGCUCAUGACGGUACCGUAAGAAUAAGCACCGGCUAACUACGUGCCAGCCGCCGCAGUAACAC